UUACCACAUUAAGGAAAUGUAAAAGACUCUCUCAGCUGAAAUGUACGUCUGUAGAGAGUCUCAGCAGUAAUCCGCACUUGUACCUGCUCAACUCCUUCUACCCACUUAACCCUUCUUACAAAUAUUUCCAUGCAAACGCCUACUGGGUGUAGAUACGAUGGGUGACGUGAACAAGAUUUAAGGAAGAACUCUUAUGCACUUUGCAGGUGGACGUCAUUGACCCUUAUUCUUAAAUGAACCAUUGACUGCAGACACAAGGAUGAGAGCGGCCGGGCUAGCCCUGAUCCUCCUGUCCUCUCUCGGCGCGGUGGUUUCAGGAAAAGUUUUCCAGACUUUGUCCCACCUGAAGGCACAGUACAGGGACUCGGUGCAGACCGCCGCUGUCCAGGAUCUUCUUCACCGGCUGAUUAGUGCCCGUGCCGAUGAGUUUGUGGUCACCGUGAACAGCUCCUUGGCUGGAAUAGACGGUCUGGACACUUACGAGCUGAGCUCGGUGCCGGGGGGUAAAGUAGCCGUGGUGGGCAGCACUGGGGUGGCAGCCGCCACGGGGUGCUACAACUAUUUAAAGUACUUCUGUGGUUGCCACAUUUCAUGGUCAGGAGUCCAGCUGCGAGUGCCGUCACCACUACCUCGAGUGCCUUCAACUAUCACGGUGAAGACACCAAACAGGUUUCGAUACUAUCAGAAUGUCUGCACCUCCAGUUACUCAUUUGUGUGGUGGGACUGGGCCAGAUGGGAGAAAGAGAUUGACUGGAUGGCGCUUAAUGGAAUCAACAUGCCCCUCGCAUUCACAGGCCAGGAGGCCAUAUGGCAGCGGGUAUUCUUGACUUUGGGAUUAACUCAGUCGGAGAUCGAUGACUUUUUCACCGGUCCUGCUUUUCUGGCGUGGGGUCGUAUGGGGAAUAUUCACACUUGGGGUGGUCCGCUGUCCUCCGACUGGAUGCAGAAGCAGCUCUCCCUGCAGAACAAGAUUGUGGAGAGGAUGAGGUCUCUUGGGAUGAUCACGGUGCUGCCGGCGUUUGCCGGACAUAUACCACAAGGUCUAAUAAGAGUAUUUCCUAAAAUCAACGUGACCAGGCUGGGUGGUUGGAGCAACUUCAACUGCACAUACUCCUGCAGUUAUCUAUUGGACCCGGAGGACCCCCUCUUCCAGAAGAUCGGAGGACUCUUUAUGACCGAGAUGAUUGAGGAAUUCGGGACUGACCAUAUUUACAAUGCGGACACGUUCAAUGAGAUGACCCCGACCUCAUCUGACCCGGCCUAUUUGUCAGCCAUCAGUAGUGCCAUCUAUAAGUCCAUGGUCACUGUGGAUCCCGGAGCCAUCUGGUUGAUGCAGGGCUGGUUGUUUUAUAACAGUCCAUCCUUCUGGAAGCCAGCGCAGAUUCGCGCACUCCUCCACGGAGCGCCCAUCGGUAAAAUCAUCGUCCUGGACUUGUUUGCAGAGACCUCUCCUGUCUAUCAGUCUACAGAGUCUUUCUUCGGCCAGCCGUUCAUUUGGUGCAUGCUACAUAACUUUGGUGGCAACCACGGUUUAUACGGGAAAGUCGACUCGGUCAACGCCGGACCCUUUGAUGCCUUGGCGUUCGAAAACUCCACCAUGGUUGGGACAGGAUUGACCCCAGAAGGCAUCGAGCAAAACGACAUGAUAUAUGAACUGAUGAAUGAGAUCGGAUGGAGAUCCAAGCCCCUUAAUCUUACCGAGUGGAUCGCCGGUUACACCACCAGACGUUACGGCCAAAAAGACCCUAAUGCUCUGGCGGCAUGGCGGCUUCUUCUCACCAGUGUCUACAACUGUACCCAAAAUUGGAAGGACCACAACCACAGCCCCCUAGUGAGGCGACCAUCUCUCAAGAUGAAUACAGACGUCUGCUACAACCAGAAUGACCUCUUCGAAGCUUGGAAGCUCAUGCGCGACGCAGCCUCGUCCCUGUCGAAAAGUAGCCCGUUCCUGUAUGACCUGGUGGACGUCACCAGAGAGGCCGUGCAGCAGUUGGUAACUCAAUAUUACGUUGACAUCAAGACAUCUUACGAGAACGAAGAUCUAGAGAGUCUUGUAACGGCAGGCGGGGUGCUGGUCUACGACCUCCUCCCUGCACUCGAUGAUCUCCUUUCCAGUCAACCCCAGUUCUUGCUUGGCAGAUGGUUGAGUGAUGCCAGGAAAAUGGCGGUAACGUCUCAGGAGGCCUCCCUUUAUGACAUGAACGCUCGCAACCAGAUAACUCUAUGGGGUCCUACUGGCAACAUUUUAGACUAUGCUAACAAACAACUGGGGGGACUGGUGCAAGACUACUAUGCCGAGCGUUGGAGCCUAUUUCUCUGGUGCCUGGUUGAAAGCCUUAAUGCGGAGAUACCCUUUAAGCAAGACAAGUUCAACCAGGCUGUAUUUUCGGUCGAGAAGGGAUUUGUGUACAAUGGCAAGAAAUAUAGUUCUACUCCCACCGGGAACACAGUAGAGAUCGUUCAAAGUAUUUUUAUAAAGUACUAUCCAAAAGCCGUGAAGAUAACCGAGAACAAAUAAAUUACUAUAUUCCUUAUGCAAAAAGUAACGGAAAAAAGGUCUUAGAUAUGUAAUGUACCGUAUUUUUCGCCCUAUAGGACGCACCGGCGUAUAAGACGCACCCAAUUUUUAGGGGCAAAAUCUAAAAAAAUUAAGAUUUUGAACCCAAUAGUGGUCCGCAGAUUGAAGACCACUGCAUAGGAGGUAAUACUCACGUGUCCCCGCCGCUCCGGACCCGUCACCGCUGCCCUGGAUGUCGCUCCAUCGCUGUCGCCCGGGAACGUCUCUGCUGCCGGCCGGGUAUCCUCGCUCUCCGUCGCCGUCAUCGCGACGUUACGCACGCCGACGCACGUACGCGACGACGUGAUGACGAGAAAGGAGAGCGCCGGCCAUACAGGGGAUCCCUGAACGGAGAAGACACCGAGGAGGCAGGUAAGGUCCCUCCCAGUGUCCUGUAAGCACUAACCCGGCUAUUCAGUCGGGCUGUUCGGGACGCCGCGGUGAAAUCGCUGAACAGCCGGGUUAGUGUCACUUUCCCUUCAGACGCGGCGGUCAGCUUUGAUCGCCGCGUCUGAAGGGUUAAUACAGGGCAUCACCGCGAUCGGUGAUGUCCUGUAUUAGCCGCGGGUCCCGGCCGUUGAUGGCCGCAGGGACCGCCGCGAUAGGGGUGUAUUUGCCGUAUAAGACGCACCAACUUUUCCCCCCCCAGUUUUGGGGAAGAAAAAGUGCGUCUUAUACGGCGAAAAAUAUGGUAAGUCAUAAAAUGUGCAAAAUACUGUAUAAACACACGUGUUUGCUGUAUCAGCAUUGCCCUAAGACAGUGUUUCCCAACCAGAGUACCUCCACAACAUGCCCGGACAGUCAAAGGCUGCUGAGAUGAGAGGGAAGCCUUGAUUUACCUUUCAGGGACAGUGUAGAUCCUCUGGAGGAGGCAGUGUGGAUCUUCUGAAAGAGCCUUAGGGUGCUGGGAGUUGUAGUUUUGCAGCAGCUGGAGGUAUCCUGGUUGGGAAACACUGUCCUAAGAGUAUACAAGUUACGCAGCUUAAUAUACAGGGAUGAAACAUUCGCAACGUUCUACUUGUCCUAAAGUUGUUUUUUUUGGGGCAAUUGAGAUUCCAUGAGUGAGAUUGAGGCUUAGUUUCCAAGUGGGUUCAGCAUUUCAUAUUUCUCUGCUGACUUCCAGCUAACAUCUGGACGCAGUGUUCUUUUCCCCACAAAAACAAAAAAAAACGUAAGGCGAAUUGGACGUUUUUUUUUUUGUUUUUUGUUUUUUUGG